rnacentral:rRNA from 1 species
GGAAUCGCUAGUAAUCGCAGAUCAGAAUGCUGCGGUGAAUACGUUCCCGGGUCUUGUACACACCGCCCGUCACACCAUGGGAGUCGGAAAUGCCCGAAGCCGGUGACCCAACCAAAAGGAGGGAGCCGUCGAAGGCAGGUCUGAUAACUGGGGUGAAGUCGUAACAAGGUACC